rnacentral:misc_RNA from 1 species
GAUGAAGAACGCAGCGAAAUGCGAUAAGUAAUGUGAAUUGCAGAAUUCAGUGAAUCAUCGAAUCUUUGAACGCACAUUGCGCCCGCCAGUAUUCUGGCGGGCAUGCCUGUUCGAGCGUCAUUACAACCCUCAGGCCCCCGGGCCUGGCGUUGGGGAUCGGCGAGGCGCCCCCCGCGGGCACGCGCCGUCCCCCAAAUACAGUGGCGGUCCCGCCGCAGCUUCCAUUGCGUAGUAGCUAACACCUCGCAACUGGAGAGCGGCGCGGCCAUGCCGUAAAACACCCAACUUCUGAAUGUUGACCUCGAAUCAGGUAGGAAUACCCGCUGAACUUAAGCAUAUCAAUAAGGGAGGA